GACAGAAAAUGCAAACGUUGCUCGGAAUCACUAAACGUAAAGCGCGUGUAGGCGGACCAGCAAGUCAGGUGUGAAAUCCCUGGGCUCAACCUAGGAACUGCAUCUGAAACUACUGGUCUUGAGUGUCGGAGAGGGAAGCGGAAUUCCAGGUGUAGAGGUGAAAUUCGUAGAUAUCUGGAGGAACACCGGUGGCGAAGGCGGCUUCCUGGACGACUACUGACGCUGAGACGCGAAAGCGUGGGGAGCAAAC
rnacentral:rRNA from 1 species